AGAAUCAACGCUGGCGGCGUGCCUAACACAUGCAAGUCGAACGAGAAAGUGGUAGCAAUACCAUGAGUAAAGUGGCGCACGGGUGAGUAACACGUGACUAACCUACCCUUGAGUGGGGGAUAACUGAGGGAAACCUUAGCUAAUACCGCAUAAUACCCACGGGUCAAAAGGAGCAAUUCGCUCGAGGAGGGGGUCGCGGCCGAUUAGUUAGUUGGCAGGGUAAUGGCCUACCAAGACGAUGAU
rnacentral:rRNA from 1 species